rnacentral:rRNA from 1 species
CUGACAUAAGUAACGAUAAAGCGGGUGAAAAGCCCGCUCGCCGGAAGACCAAGGGUUCCUGUCCAACGUUAAUCGGGGCAGGGUGAGUCGACCCCUAAGGCGAGGCCGAAAGGCGUAGUCGAUGGGAAACAGGUUAAUAUUCCUGUACUUGGUGUUACUGCGAAGGGGGGACGGAGAAGGCUAUGUUGGCCGGGCGACGGUUGUCCCGGUUUAAGCGUGUAGGCUGGU